UCUUCAAUUGUUUUUCCCCUUAGACUUGCUUCCCAUGGGAUUUUACCUACCAACUCCGAGUUUGCUAAAGUCUUGAAAUCCAUUGUCUUUAUUGUGCUGUUCUCCCUCCUACCAUUCCUUAAAAUCAUGAACUCUACCAUUUCAUGAUCACUUUUAGCCCAGUUGCCUUCCACUUUCAAAUUCUCAACCAGUUCCUCCCUAUUUGUCAAAAUCAAAUCUAGAACAGCCUCCCCACAGUAGCUUUCUCUACCUUCUGAAAUAAAAAAUUGUCUCCAAUACAUUCCAAGAAUUUGUUGGGAAAAAUAACACAUCAGGACACAGAUUAUCCAACAGAUGUCUGGGUAGUUGAAGUCCCACAUCACCACCAAGUCCUGUGCUUUGGAUAAUACUGGGUGAUUAUAAAAAGCAAGGGAAAUGGGAAGGCUUUCCAGGCUCAGACUGCAAACACACAUGCCUUCUUAAUACUUUUGUCUCCCCUACUGUCAGUCCUACCCCCCAGGGUUGGCUUCCUUCUUUUGUUUUUGCAUGUCCCCUUUCAGAGGUACUGUGAGAUAUCAGUGCAUGAGUGAUAGCCCUGUGCCUCAGGGCAUCAGAUGGUGCCGCUGAAGUAACUGUUCUUGCAGCAGGCAUAUCCAAGCAGAGCGUCUUCCUUGGACCUUGAGUGAUUGGAACUGGACCUUCAUCGAUGAGAGGUCUCUUGAGAUUAGGAUUUAUGCGGUGAUCAAUGCUCUUCUUCAAUUCCUUGAUGGGAGACGUGUUUACUCUUUUUUGAAGUCUUAUUAUCCAGGGUUGCACAUGAAGCAGCAAAAGUGACUGAGGAUGUCUGUGACAUAGAGGCUGAUGUAUAGGGUGGUGGGGAGAGCAAAUCCCUUGUGAGCUAGGAUAUGCUCCAUUACUAUCAUCUUAAAUCUAGCCUUCCUGUCCUUCUUGGAUCUGGCCUGAAAAUCCCGACAGAACUUGCAUUUGGCAGGGUUGUGGGAGUGCCUCAAAUCCCGCAGGCAGCUGGAGUGCCCAUCGCUGUGGGGAAAGGACGUGUGGCAAGUCUCACAGCCUUAAACCCCGUGUCUUGGUCAUAAUUAUACUCCUAACACAGAAAAUUGGGGAAGAGGAAGGAACCCUGCUUCUUCCUAACCCCAACUAACACAAACUGAAACAAAGGUAAAAUAUGAAUAAAGUAACUACUCACACCCACACAAUUUACACGUGAAGACAGGGAGCUGAAUACAGCAGGCAGCAGAACUCUCCAUGAACGGCAGGUGGUUGAGAAGGAACUGAUUGGUGGUGGGCUCAUAUGUUUCCUUGUUCACAGCAUGAUGCACUGUUCCGUGCAGCCAUUAGCCUGAAAACACUACUUUGCAGUCACUGGUUGAGAAUGCAGAGCUGUCCCUAGCCUAUGCAGCUGCCCUUGGGGGGGCUGUGUGGGGCCCCAGGCCUCCAUGGGGGGGGCAGGAGCAGGCUUGGGGGGCCAGGGGAAACCCACUCCCCAGCACAAGCCAGCGGAGCGGGUUGGAGCCAGGUCACUCCACUUCCUGCCGCCCGGUGAGUGCAGGGUGGGCCUGACCCCUGCUGCAGUCCUCAGGGGAAGGGCUGGAGUGGGGGUGGGAAGGGGCGGAGCAAGGGCUACGGGGAAGAGGCAGGGCAGGGGCUGGAACAGCACACAGCUGUGUAGGGCACCAGGAAAUUUAUGCAGCUAUGUACUUUGUGUACGGGUAGGGACGGCCCUGGGUGUAUGCAUCCUAUGGUAGAACACCCACAGGGACACUACACUCAGAAGAAGCACAUUCCAAUAACUACACCAGUGUGGGGAAAACUUGCUCAGUGACUCCCUUUCUUCCAGGUUAACGUCAUGACCAUUCUAGUCAUUACACCCAAGUAACUGCACAACCAGACCCCAGCAUUGACAAUGCUUCUCAGUGCCCGCACACCGAAGUACCCGCUAACCCUAUUACAGAACAGAAACUCAUGGACAGGCUCAGGGACAGUUCUCCUAAGGAAUAACAUUACAGAUUGAUGAGAAACAUUUUAUUUCCCAGAGUCAGUUUACACUAAAUAACCAAGGUCAAGCUCUUGUUUCAAAAAGGGUUUUAAUGAGUCAAACAUAACUAUUAUUGAUUAAUGAUAGCUGCGUCAUUGCAGAAACAGCCUCUAAUCUAACAUUUUUUAUGAGAUUAAAAUGAUUCUCUGUGCUAGUGGUCAGGUUCUGACUACCCUGAUCAUGUCAGGGAACUGGCCAAUGGGAGUGUGGAGUUGGUGCUCGGGGCCGUGGCCCCGCUGCCUAGAAGCCAGACCCGCUGCUGGCUGCUUCCGGGGUGCAGCACAAUGUGGAAAAAGGUAGGACUUUUUAACAUCCUAGUCGGCAGUGCUGACCAGAGUGACCCAAUGCCUUACUUUGAAAAACACUGCACUGGGCUACUGGGUAUAAAGGGAGCACUACCACCACUUCCUCUGUGUUUGUGGAAGUUAGCCACGCUCUGACAUCACAUACCAGAUUGGACCCUAGGCACUGAGGGGACUUUACUGGUGAAAACGUAGGCACCUGGGGAAUUCAGGCACCUAUAGGGUUGGGCAAGAUGAGUGGAUGGUUCGGAGGUGCAAACUUUUGGCCUCAGGUGCCUAAAGUGGCAGUUAGGCACCUAACCCCCCUUUGUGGAUCUGGCAGUUGGUAUGUGGUUGCUUAACAUGGGGUUUUCACAGUGAUUCUUAGAGUGUUGACAACUCUUAGGAUAUUUGCUCUUUUUCUUAAUACACCAGCUAUUGGGAAUGUGAGAAUCUCAGCAUUCAUUUAAAUAAAAAAAGUUUCUAGCCCUCUUGGUUGUGAAGAAAUGCUGGAAAAACAUGACCCCAAUUGUAACCUAAAAGCUCAAAACCCAGCAGGCAAAUAAUACUCAGAGUUUGGCUUAAAUGCCCCCACAAAGUGUGAAGAUUUCUGGGGCCUUUUUUUCGUUGAGUGCUCGGGGUUACUGAUACUGCAGCUAACAUGAUGCUAAAAGAUUAACUACAGAAGCAAGUUACUCUUUCCAAAGUUAUCCUAACUGCUAUUUUUACAAUACUUAAUGACCAGGCAGCCAGGAACCAGCCUGUGCGCCAGCUGAGUUGGGAGUGGGAGGCAGGAGAGGGAAGGGCCAUACUUGUUGUGGAAGUAAAAAAGGGAUAAAGGGGAUUUGGACACAGAUAUCUUAGUUUUCUUAGGAAUAGAGCAAGAGUCAGGCUAACUCUAAUAACACAAGACUUUAAGGCAGGGCCUGGGCGAGUGGGAAGCAAGUGGGAAAACUGUAAGAGAUGCUGUUAGAUAAGAAUGGAACACAGACUGUAGCAGGAACUGCUGAGAAAAAGUAAGAUAUCAGGAAGGAAUAUGUAUAAACAAGACGCAGCAGUUGAUCGUUACUGUAUGUAACAAAAGGUAUAAAUGCUUGCCCUAAUUGUUUAUCAGGCGGAGACCUGCCUAGGAAGGGGGAAUCCCUGGCCACGUGCACUCUCCCCCUUGCAAUUGCUUGAGAAUAAAUUGUCUCUGACUUGUUGCAAACAACCUAAGAGUGAAGACUGCAUUUUUCUUCCACAAUCUGGUGCCGUGACUUGGAUGGCAAUGCCUGGUUGAGACAGCGGUAGCUACUGCAGACCGUUCCCCUUCGAACCCCAUGGCAUCACAACAGAGGUAAGAGACCCUUUGAAAUCUCUAUUGGGGUAUUGGAGGAGGACUGCCUGUGGGGCCGUCUGUCCCUUUGGAGCUUACACCAUGCAAACUUAUUGAUUAAGCAACAAGAUCAGAUGCAAAGCGGUACUGAGGAACUGUUGCCGCCCUUAAUAAGGUUAGUUUGAAGUGGUACCGAGGAUUUAGUCUUGCCACCCUCAAUAAAGUUAAUGUAUCGGUGCUGAGGGGUUUUUGCCGCCUCAAAUAAGGGAAAGGUUGUAUUAAGUCCGGACAUAAAGAAUUAAGGUUAUUGUUAAAUGAGAUGCAUCAGGGUAUGGGGAAUGAAUGUGUGUGUAUGAAUGAAUGAAGGGGGGGUAUGAACCGCUAACCAGGUCCAGGACUUAAGCAGACUCCAGCUGCCCCAGGGCUACCCCAGGUGGGAGUUCUGAAAGCAAGGGGGGUCAGCCAAACCUUGUGACCCAGCGGAGAAUUUUCCUUACUUAUGAGCCACUGACCAGGUCCAGACUUAAGCCGCUAGUCGGUGGAAACUGUGACCCAGUGGACCCUUUCCUGGGGUGUGAGUGAAAAUCUUCCCUAAUUUAUGAGCUGCCAAAUGGUCAGGGGUCCCCUAUGAGCCAUUGAGCGGACAGGAUACUCCCCUGUGUGACUGCAAAAUGCAUUGGGGACAGUAAGAAUUCUCCUACACCACCGAAGGGCACCCCUGCGUACUAUAUGCAUGUGCAUUAUGGUCCUAGGACCUGCAGGUAUUUAGAAAAUUGGAAUUUUUCCACGCAUGAUAAUCCAUCUAAACAAUUCUCACUAGAAGGUACCUUCGAUCUAGAUAAAAUCAUAUACCUCAGAGGAACCCUUACAUCACCAAAAGCCUCUGACAUACAGUGGGAGAAAUUUGUUUAUUGGUGGGAGGAAGCCACAAAGAGACUCACGAGUCUCGUGUGCGGAGUCUGAAGGACUCCCAGGAAAAAUUUAAAAACAAGUACAGGAUUUGAAAACUAAAUGCAAAGCAUCCGGAUGCCUCCCUACCCGAGCAACUCCCUCUGCUCCUUUAUAUCCCCAAUUAGUUAAGGCUGAAAGCGAGGAGGGAAAGGAAUGGGUUAAUUUGAAAAGUCAGCUUGGCCUAGAGAUAAAGAGAAAGCUGCUCUGCGUUCAAGGUCAAAAAUCGACACAGACCAUGCCAAGCGCACGCACACACACACGCCUUUCAACCCCAGCUGGAUGUGAAAAAUAUAGACACAGGCAAAACAAGUUGCAGGACUGAGAUUACAUUUGCAAAGAUUGGCUGCCCAGUGAGACCCAACAGUCUGCCUUUGCAACCUUGGAGCCGGUGCGGUUUGCGGACACUGAAGAAGCCACUGGCAGCCAGCCUGGACUGGAAUACCGAGCAAAGGUCUCUGAAAGGGAAGAUCCAAGAGACCCCAGGGCGUAAAAAAAAAACAACAAAAAAACCAACCCUCCCAAGAGCGGAAGCAAGUUGGAGAUUUUUGCAGUGUAUCUCUGGACAACCUGUGCACAGGAUAACCUCCCGUCCACCCCCCUCUCUCUCUCUGUCUCUCCUACCCCCGGGCCUGGCCAGCCUGGGCAGCAUGUUUGUCUCUUUAUACACAGGUGAAAGACGCACUACCCAAGGAUCCUGAGCACCCCUGCCACUCGCUGGAACCAGGAGACUGGGUCUACAUACAGGUCCAUCAGCGAAAGACGGCCCUGACCCCACGCUGGAAAGGCCCUUACCAAAUCCUGUUAACUACCAACACCGCUGUGAAGUGCCAAGGACUGACUGCCUGGACCCAUG